rnacentral:rRNA from 1 species
GACGAACGCUGGCGGCGUGCCUAAUACAUGCAAGUUGAACGCUUGAUUUUCACCGAAGCUUGCUUCACCGAAAAUCAAGAGUAGCGAACGGGUGAGUAACGCGUGGGUAACCUACCUUUCAGCGGGGGAUAACUAUUGGAAACGAUAGCUAAUACCGCAUAAUAAUGUUGGAUGCAUAUUCGACAUUUGAAAGUACCAACUGGUACACUGAGAGAUGGACCCGCGUUGUAUUAGCUAGUUGGUAGUGUAAUGGACUACCAAGGCGAUGAUACAUAGCCGACCUGAGAGGGUGAUCGGCCACAUUGGGACUGAGACACGGCCCAA